rnacentral:rRNA from 1 species
CCCUUAGAUGUUCUGGGCCGCACGCGCGCUACACUGUUCGACGCAGCGAGUCUUAACCUUGACCGAAAGGUUUGGGUAAUUUUCAGCAAAGUCGAACGUGAUGGGGAUCGAUCAUUGCAAUUAUUGAUCGUGAACGAGGAAUUCCUAGUAAGUGCAAGUCAUCAGCUUGCGCUGAUUACGUCCCUGCCCUUUGUACACACCGCCCGUCGCUACUACCGAUUGAAUGGUUUAGUGAGAUCUCUGGAUUGACGCUGGCUAGGGGGCGACCCUUGGCCAGACUGUUGAGAAACUGCUCAAACUUGAUCAUUUAGAGGAAGUAAAAGUCGUAACA